UUAAAUUCAGCUCUCUCAUUUUCCCCUACGGCCAGUGCCAGUGGCUCACCUCGCGCACUCUCUCUCAUCCCCAGUCAAGCCAGAGAGGUAGACACAGGACAGAUCUCGCUGCUCCAUCGGAGGAUCUAGCGCAUGAGUACCUACUGGACGAGUGGAAGACGACCAAGCCAAGAUGGAGAUGUCAUCAUCUACAGCGGAACAAUCAAUGACGCUGUCCAAGGUGGACCAAAUAACGACUGCGGCAACAUCUACAGUGGGACAAUUUGCGACGCUAUCCAUAAUGGGCGUAUCGACUACUACUUCGACACCAUCUACGGUGGGACAAUCCACGACACAGUCCAUGAUGGACGUAACAACUACUACUUCGCCACCAUCUACGGGUGGGACAAUCUACGGCGCCGCUGUCUGCAGUGGCGUGGGUGUCUGACCUUCAACCCGCUUCCCCCGCUUCCCAGCUUUGUGCUCCGUGUCGUUCAGUUGAUAGCUGCUGUCUUGGCGUUCGCCGCCAUGUACUCUGUGUACUAAUAUGCCACGGUGCUAUGGAGGAAACUGGGGAGGGGGGCAUUGGCCCCCUCUUUGCCAUGUCCCUAUCUAUACGAUUCGGAACAAAAGACGAAUCACAAAUCCCAAG